rnacentral:rRNA from 1 species
UACGUAGGGGGCGAGCGUUGUCCGGAAUCAUUGGGCGUAAAGAGCGUGUAGGUGGACUGGAAGGUCUGGUGUGAAAGCCCGGGGGCUCAACCCCGGAGGGGUCACUGGAAACCAACAGUCUUGAGUCCGGAAGAGGAGAGUGGAAUUCCUGGUGUAGCGGUGGAAUGCGCAGAUAUCAGGAGGAACACCAAUGGCGAAGGCAGCUCUCUGGUACGUGAC